GGUUGCGAUCAUACCAGCAUUAAUGCACCGGAUCCCAUCAGAACUCCGUAGUUAAGCGUGCUUGGGCGAGAGUAGUACUAGGAUAGGUGACCCCCUGGGAAGUCCUCGUGUUGAAACCC
rnacentral:rRNA from 1 species